CGCUCCCCUCCCCUCCCCCGCCCCGCGUUACAGUUUUGGCCGACGGUUUGGCUCUGCUCCUCGGGUUGCUGCUUGUGUGAGCAUUGCGGACCGGUGGGAGCGCGUGUGCUUUUGGUGGUCGGGAGUUUGUAGCUUAUGUGCUUAGCGCGAAGGUGAACAUAGAUUUGGAUUUGAGACCUGCUAGGAACGGUAUUUGACUAAUUUUAUUUAGGCUUUUUUCGUUUUAUAAUUCGGCGGAUCAGUUCGUAGCUAGGCUGUGGAUCCUCGCGAAGCUUAGUGAGAUCUUCCUCUUAUUUUUGCGUUUCGCGCUUCACCGUGUUGGUAUGAUCUGCGCCAACUGCUUCUGAAACCAGCUAUUCAUGAACCACUAGCAGAAUACUUUGUGAACGAGGCAAACGGAAAUGCCAGAUAUGCCACGUGGUGUGAGAGUUGGACGAAUGCUUAAAGUUACCGAACUAGGACAAAAAACGUGCCAGAAGUUUGUGUACUUGUUCGGCAUGUUUUCCUCUGGAAGUAGUGGAUCACAUUACUCAUAGUCAUGAGGUUUUAGCUAUUAAUCCAAGAGCAUUUUAGGGCCAUUCGGAUGGUUUGGUGAGGCACUUAGAGGUCUGAUUUUUUAGGGUCAUUUGUUCAUUCAUUUUGGUUCAGUUAGCUAGGGGCUAUUAGCAAUUAAAUUCAGAGAAAUCCUUGUCAAGCAUGAGGUUCUCCUACAUAUAUACUGCCAUAUGUUCCUACUGAAUAUAUUGACAUGCCAUUACACUAUGAUGCAAUAGAAUGGCUAGCACAAGCUUUCCCUUCUAAGGAUGUCAGCAGUAGGAAGAAUCAUUGUAGCGCUUUGGUAAAGUGGAGGGGUUCAGGUUCCCCAAGUGUUUAUUCUUGUUCACUCACCAGUUUUAUCUUUCAUGUGCUGACAUUCUUCUCUAUCCUGUUUGCAAUCGAUCUUCUGUUCGUCUGCCUCGACAUUGGCGAAUGGCGAUACACAUCCAUUAGUUUAUUUGUGAUCUUACAAGACAGAGGAGGAAGUAGCUCGCACCCAUGAUCUCGUGGCGCUCAAGUGCUGGGGCUCAGGCGACACUCAAGUGCUGGGGCUCACACUUCGGGCUCCUCAACUUCCCAAUAAGUUCAGAGAUACUAUUGGUCUUAGAUUGCUGAUUUUAUUCAGAGUGAAGCUUACUAAGAUUGGGUUGCGACAGGUGCAGGUGGACACGUACAUGCAGGAGCAUGAGAGGAUGCAGCGGGUGACACGGGAGGAGUACCAACAACAACAACUUUGCCGACAGGGGCCUACCGCUCAACAUCCUGGUGUACUUGCCACUAGUCCCAAUCAUGCGCAUCUGAUAGUUUAGGUUCAGUCAAGGAUUGUCAAGACCAUUCAGGUUCAGCGAGAUGGCUCUCUGAACCAUGAGUAGGUAGCACAACGCAUGCCUUGUCGGUUGACAGACAAGACCACUAGUUGUCCUGCGGCUCUACUACUGUACCAUGUGUUCCUACUACUAGCUCUAGUCGUGGAUGCUGGGUAGCUCCAUGUUUUCUCUGUUUUUAUGUAAUCUUUUCUCUGUUUGUUUUUCUUGGCGCAUCAUAGAUGAAGCUCGGAGCUAGAUAGAACCAUACAACUGCGGUUGACAAACAUUGCAAUUUAAUCUAAAAUUGUCAUCAUGAUCCUAGCAAAUACUCAUCAAAUAACUGUAAAUUGUUGCAUGAUUAGUGUCUAGUAAAGGGCAGCCCCAGUGCAUGUAGCUCCCGCUUCCGCAGGGUCUGGGGAAGGGUCCGACCACUUUGGGUCUAUUGUACGCAGCCUUUCUCUACAUUUCUGUAAGAGGCUGUUUCCAGGACUUGAACCUGUAGUGUAGAUUCAAAAUAAGGUUGCACUUCUAGAGGAGAUAAGCCACUGAUGUUGGAUGCUUGGUAAUUGUCUUGUGUUGUGUGCAUGUCGGUACUAGCAGUAUGUUCGUGAGCAACAAGCAUAUGAUUUGUGCCUGUGCUCUACUGUAUUGGCCUCAUUGGUCAUGGCUGAUUGACCUGGAUUAUAGCUUAUUCCUUCAGCGUACUAUCUCUUUCUCAAGUCAACUCAAGCAACAAUUCAUACUAAAUAGCACUUCUUAAUUUUCAUGCAUACUUGCUCCAGCUCUUCUUAAUUUUUAUGCAUGUUUCUUUUCGGACUUGAUCAUACUAAAUAGCACCUGAUUCAUGUUGUUUGAUGAACCAGUACCCGCGUCGGGAGACUAGCAGGGAACUUGCAAACUUAAGUUUUCUCACCAGUAGUCACUUAUCCUGUUGUUCAUGUCCAUGCAGCAUUUUUCCUGGUUCUAUGUUACAGCUGCUGCAAACAAUUUAUUAAUGUGGGAUGUGGCUCUAUGUCUAGUUUUGUUUCUCUUCUAAAGAAAUCCCCUCUGCCUCUGGUGUGCAGCAAGUUGAUUGUUCUGUCUUUGUAUUAUUGUGCAGAUUGGCCAAGUGUUCGUCGAUCUGCAAGCCGAUUUAAGAUUUGGAUUGGCCGGUCCAAUUCAACACGGAGCUGAGUGUAUGUUGAAACUUUUCGUCCAUCAAGCGCCGCCUCCGGCCGCCCCGACGAUGCCCUUGCCUUCGCCAACCUCCACUCCUCCAUGAGGUGAUUUGUUUCUUGGAAUUUGGAAGAGGAAGACGAUGAAGCGUGGGGGUUAUCUAUCAAUAUGCCUUGUGUUCUGGUUGUACUUCAUAACUAGUUACAUUGUAUUCUGUACUGGUCAGCAUAUCUGAUUGUAUGAACGCCAUGUAAAGAUUGUAAUAGGCUAAUUUUGGCUAUCAUUUCAAGAAUAUAGUUUUGUUUCAUUUGAAA